GUGGGCUUACUUUAGUGCACAUAUACUAAAAUUGGCGAAAGGAGAUUAGCACAGCCCUUGCACAAAGAUGACACACAAAUUUUUGAAGUGUUCCAUAUUUUU